AACGAACGCUGGCGGCAUGCCUAACACAUGCAAGUCGAACGCCCCGCAAGGGGAGUGGCGAACGGGUGAGUAACGCGUGGGAACCUACCCAGCAGUUGGGGAUAACCGCGGGAAACUGCGGCUAAUACCGAAUACGUCCUUAGGGAGAAAGAUUUAUCGCUGUUGGAGGGGCCCGCGUCGGAUUAGCUAGUUGGUGAGGUAACGGCUCACCAAGGCGACGAUCCGUAGCUGGUCUGAGAGGAUGAUCAGCCACACUGGGACUUAGACACGGCCCAGACUCCUACGGGAGGCAGCAGUGGGGAAUAUUGGACAAUGGGGGCAACCCUGAUCCAGCAAUGCCGCGUGAGUGAUGAAGGCCUUAGGGUUGUAAAGCUCUUUUACCGGGGACGAUGAUGACGGUACCCGGAGAAUAAGCCCCGGCUAACUUCGUG
rnacentral:rRNA from 1 species